UACAGAGGGUGCGAGCGUUAAUCGGAAUUACUGGGCGUAAAGCGUGCGUAGACGGCUAUCUAAGUCGGGUGUGAAAGCCCCGGGCUCAACCUGGGAAUUGCAUUCGAGACUGAAUAGCUAGGGUGCGGUAGAGGGAAGCGGAAUUUCCGGUGUAGCGGUGAAAUGCGUAGAUAUUCGCAAGAACACCAGUGGCGAAGGCGGCCCCCUGGGCCGGCCCUGACACUGAGACGCGAAGGCGUGGGGAGCGAACGGG
rnacentral:rRNA from 1 species